rnacentral:rRNA from 1 species
GUGACUCUGUUCAACGGCCGCGGUAUCCUAACCGUGCGAAGGUAGCGUAAUCACUUGUUCUUUAAAUGAGGACUAGUAUGAAUGGCAUCACGAAGGUUAUACUGUCUCCUCUUUCCAAUCAGUGAAACUAAUCUCCCCGUGAAGAAGCGGGGAUAACUUUAUAAGACGAGAAGACCCUAUGGAGCUUUAAACUAAGAAUCAACUGACUUUUCCACUUUUAAAUUCCAGAAAACUAACUUUUACCAAGACACUCUGAUUUCUAGUUUUAGGUUGGGGUGACCACGGAGUAAAAACUAACCUCCGCAAUGAACAGGGAUCUUCCCUUAACCAAGGACCACAACCCUAAGAAUCAACACAUUGACAUCAAUUGACCCA